rnacentral:rRNA from 1 species
CCUACGGGGGGCAGCAGUGGGGAAUAUUGGACAAUGGGCGAAAGCCUGAUCCAGCCAUGCCGCGUGUGUGAAGAAGGCCUUCGAGUUGUAAAGCACUUUCAGUGGGGAAGAAAGCCUUGGGGCUAAUACCCUCGAGGAAGGACAUCACCCACAGAAGAAGCACCGGCUAACUCCGUGCCAGCAGCCGCGGUAAUACGGAGGGUGCGAGCGUUAAUCGGAAUUACUGGGCGUAAAGCGCGCGUAGGCGGUCUGAUAAGCCGGUUGUGAAAGCCCCGGGCUCAACCUGGGAACGGCAUCCGGAACUGUCAGGCUAGAGUGCAGGAGAGGAAGGUAGAAUUCCCGGUGUAGCGGUGAAAUGCGUAGAGAUCGGGAGGAAUACCAGUGGCGAAGGCGGUCUUCUGGACUGACACUGACGCUGAGGUGCGAAAGCGUGGGUAGCAAACAGGAUUAGAUACCCCAGUAGUC